UUUGUACUCCCUCCGUCCGAAAAAACUUGUCAUCAAAAUGGACAAAAGGAAAUGUAUCUAGAACUAAAAUACAUCUAGAUACAUCCCCUUUUAUUCAUUUUGAUGACAAGUAUUUUCGGACGGAGGGAGUACUUU
rnacentral:pre_miRNA from 1 species